rnacentral:lncRNA from 1 species
GACCAAUUUAUUUUUUUCAGUAAACUGCAUAAAUGACUCAUCAGCAGGAAAUGUGAAUAAAUAGUCAACUUAACUGAAAAUACAAAUAAACAUAUCUUUCUUUUGUGAGGAGGAUUUGCUUAAAGGGGAAAAAAACCUUGGGAGGAUGGACUAUAGUUCCUAAGAGGGCAUAAUCUUCUGCUUUUUCUGUGGGAUUCUAGCCCCCUUUUCUGGGCAGGGAUGGCAUGAGCCCAGCUACUAAGGAGAUAUCUGUCCACAUGACAUUUAUUAGUUUAGAAGUGGUAGCCUCUUCAUCAGGAAUUUAAGUAAUUUUUAAAGAGUUACCUGAUGAGUGCAUACAUGUAUGUGUACGUGCAUGUGUACGCGUGUGUGUGUGUGUGUGUGUGUGUGUGUGUGUGUUUUCUGGAAUCCCUGUAAGUCAUCUUUCUGGUCACUCAUGUAGCCAGUGCUAUGACCUCAUAUAAUUGGAACUCUAAUUCUACUGCCUACUAAACAGUCAAUAAUAUUGAGCACUAUUAAACAUCUCAUGAAAGAAUAGCAUUAGAAUUAGCACCCAGAUGGCAUCAUAACCAUAUGGGCACAAUAAUGUGGAUAUAAAGACAUUUUCUUGAUUACCAUAUCCACAGGACCUUUGAUUCUGGAAUUCUACAUGGGAUUCCUAAUUUCCAUGUAAAUAGUUUUGUUAGCAUGGCAAUCACAGGCAGUCAUUACAAGAACCUGUCUUGUAUCUCUUAACUGAGAUGAAAGAGAGGCAAAACGGAGGUGGUGAUGAAAGCAUUGCAUAAAGAGUGACUUUCCAUAUUUCAUGUCUGGAUUAAAUCCAAGUUUCAAAGUUCAGGAGGCCCCCUGAGCAUGCUGGAUACUUUCACUGAUGACUCAUGAGAGGUGUACAUAUUUUUCUCCCUUUGUUCAAGCGUGGUGACCAACUCCCUCUGCCCUCCCAUUCUUAUCUCCUUGUAAGUGCCCUAGGGAACAGGAGGCCUGACGUCAAAAGCUCCCCCUCGUGACCAAAUCGACUGGGACUUGUUGGAUCCAAGAUGGCAGCUCACUUGACUUCUGAAGAACCUGGAACUUCAUUAUAAUCAAAUUUCCGUGCUAAAUGACAUUCCCGCGAGCACCAUGACAGUUGACAAUCACCAUGACAAUGACAGAAGAAACCAUAAAAUGACAAAAAGGAAGGCGGCAACUCUGGUUCUGAGUUUUCUGCCCAUUUCCAGAAAAGAUGUGAAUAUUCUUCUCUUUGCUUUUAAUGCCUGACCCUGUCAUUAGAGAUAUUCUGUAUCUGUGACUUCCUGGUUUUCAUAAGCUGAGAAGGUGAUUUGUGAGCCAAUCUCCUGGUUCUCAAUUUCAUGGCCAUUGAAUGAAGCUGGUACUGCUUGAUGCUCACUUUCUGUUCUGUGUAUUGGCUUCCUGGCACUGAAGAGGGAAAGACCUAUUUUUGGGGUGGGGGCGGGGGGGACCAGCUUUAUCAGUAACAGAAAGUUAGGACAGUCAUUCCUUUUCAAGACACCUCUUCAUCCUCAAAGAUUAACAGCUCUUUCUUAAUGUCAUAACAAUCAAAAUUUGGAAUUAAGCUCCUUAUGGAUCACGGGUGAGAGUGAAUUUGCUCUUUGAAAGAACAGAUGUCACAAUAUAUGAACAUAUUUUCAUUUUAUUAAACAUGCUAGUACAGUACAGUGGUUAAGACCUCAGAGGCUGGAGCUAGGGGCCCUGGGCUGGAAUUCUGACUCUGUCACUUACAUGUGAGACAGUAGGCAUGUUAUCAACUCAACAUGUCUCAGUUUCCUUGUCUAUAAAAUGGGGAUAAUAAUAGAACCUAACUUAUAAGGGUGGUUGUGAGAAUUAAAUGUGUUAAUAUAUGUAAAGUUUCUGAAAUGGUGCCUAACAAAAAGUAAUCAUUAUAUAAAUAUUAACUACUCAUCUUUCUAAUGUGUUACUAUUUUAUGGUAUUCUGUUUUCCUACUAUUUUUAUUUAGCUUGUUUAUCAUCAUUGAACAUUAUUUUUACUAUUUAAUAUUUUCUUUAUUUAGAAGAAUUUAUUUUUCUAGGGCAGUUUUAGGUUCAUAGCAAAAUUGAGAGGAAGGUACAGGUAUAUUUCCCAUAUACCAUUGGGUCCCAUACAUGCAUGGCCUCCUCCAUUAUCAACACCCCCCACCAAAGUGGCACAUUAGUUACAACAGAUGAACCUGCAUUCACACAUCAUUAUCACCCAGAGUCCGUAGUUUACAUCAGAGUUCACUCUUGAUGUUGUUCAUUCUGUGGGUUUGGACAAAUGUAUAAAGGCAUGUGUGCACCAUUAUAGUUUCAUAUAGAGUAGUUUCAAUGCCCUAAAAAUCCUGUGUGUCCCUGAACACCUAAAGGAGGUCUGGAGUGGAGUGAGGCAAUCAAUUGGGGGGUGGGCUGAGGGAGCACAGCUGCAGAGACCGGCCUUGGAGGGCACCCUGAGGGUCCUGUGCUUCCAUGGUACAUGCAAAGCCAACCUCUCAAGGGCUACAAGCAGUGACAUUCCAUAAGCAGGUUUCCAUUUUGGAGAGAUCACCCUGUCCUCUUUGAGGGACGUGGGUUAGAAGAUCACCUGGGACUUUAGCAGCCUUGGGAAGGCCCUGAGCCAGCAACCGCUCAUACACUUAAUUGGAUCAAUGAAAAAGGUCCAAAUUCCUGUUGACGCUAACAUCUGAUCACCAUAGAGCCCUACGACAAUUUUAGAAUCGGCAGCCUAAUCCAGUGGUCUCCACUGUGGGGUGACACACCUCAGAAAGUGCACAAAACAAUUCGUUUCAGAGUGGAAGAGAAAUACUAGAACUUCUAUUUUUAAAAAUAAUAAAUACAACUAAAUAACAAAUUUCAUUAUUUCCAAAUUGAACAUUUCCUUUGUAUGUUUUAUAAUGUAUUAUAUAAUAUACAUUAUCUCAUUUAUAAACAAACAAAUAUGAGGUGGUGCUAAAGUGUUUUUACUGAUUGAGCGCCGUUUCCUUCCAUGCUGGAAGUCUCCUAUCUGUGUCAAAGGCUAUCCUGAUUCAACCCCUGAAAUUACUAUUCCAGGACUUUAUUGUCAUAUAUGACAGAGAUUUAGGGAAGACUUAGGCCAAAAUUUAUACCAAUAUAUUAAAACAAAUAAACAUAAUAAAGUAAUUUAAAAUUUAACAUGUGCUUGUCUCUCAUGCACAGCCAUUCAGUGCUUGGGACAGUGCCUGACAUACAGAACACGUUCAGUACAUAUUUGUUGAAUGAAUAAAUGGAUUAAGGA